GUGUUCACGCCAGCAGUUCAUUUCCUCAAAUUGGAAUGAUACCAAGAAAAUUAGCAUGGCCCCAUCUAUAAGAAUGACAUGCAAAUUUGUGAAGUUGUCCGUAUUUUU
ensembl:snRNA U6 U6 spliceosomal RNA